GAUGAACGCUAGCUACAGGCUUAACACAUGCAAGUCGAGGGGCAGCACAGAGUGGCAACACUUGGGUGGCGACCGGCGCACGGGUGAGUAACACGUAUCCAACCUGUCCCAUACUCGGGGAUAGCCUUUCGAAAGAAAGAUUAAUACCCGAUAGCAUAAGAUUUCCGCAUGGUUUUCUUAUUAAAGAUUCAUCGGUAACCGAUGGGGAUGCGUUCCAUUAGGUAGUAGGCGGGGUAACGGCCCACCUAGCCGACGAUGGAUAGGGGUUCUGAGAGGAAGGUCCCCCCACAUUGGAACUGAGACACGGUCCAAACUCCUACGGGAGGCAGCAGUGAGGAAUAUUGGUCAAUGGGCGAGAGCCUGAACCAGCCAAGUAGCGUGAAGGAUGACUGCCCUAUGGGUUGUAAACUUCUUUUAUACGGGAAUAACACGCGGC
rnacentral:rRNA from 1 species